CAGUAGCCGCGGUAAUACGAAGGGGGCUAGCGUUGCUCGGAAUUACUGGGCGUAAAGGGCGCGUAGGCGGACAGUUCAGUCGGGGGUGAAAGCCCGGGGCUCAACCUCGGAAUUGCCUUCGAUACUGGCUGUCUUGAGUAUGAGAGAGGUGUGUGGAACUCCGAGUGUAGAGGUGAAAUUCGUAGAUAUUCGGAAGAACACCAGUGGCGAAGGCGACACACUGGCUCAUUACUGACGCUGAGGCGCGAAAGCGUGGGGAGCAAACAGGAUUAGAUACCCCUGUAGUCCCUGUCUCUUAUAC
rnacentral:rRNA from 1 species